rnacentral:rRNA from 1 species
GAUGAACGCUGGCGGCGUGCCUAACACAUGCAAGUCGAACGAAGCACCUUACCUGAUUCUUCGGAUGAAAGUUUGGUGACUGAGUGGCGGACGGGUGAGUAACGCGUGGGUAACCUGCCCUGUACAGGGGGAUAACAGCUGGAAACGGCUGCUAAUACCGCAUAAGCGCACGAGGAGACAUCUCCUUGUGUGAAAAACUCCGGUGUACAGGAUGGGCCCGCGUCUGAUUAGCUGGUUGGCAGGGUAACGGCCUACCAAGGCAACGAUCAGUAGCCGGUCUGAGAGGAUGAACGGCCACAUUGGAACUGAGACACGGUCCAAACUCCUACGGGAGGCAGCAGUGGGGAAUAUUGCACAAUGGGGGAAACCCUGAUGCAGCAACGCCGCGUGAGUGAAGAAGUAUUUCGGUAUGUAAAGCUCUAUCAGCAGGGAAGAUAAUGACGGUACCUGACUAAGAAGCGCCGGCUAAAUACGUG